AGGAGGAACAACCGCAGUGGCGGGGCCAGCUCUGCAGCCCUGGAGUCAGCCCCCGCAGUAGCUCCCGAGCUCUCCGUCUGCAGGGCCUGGAGGCUCCGGGCGGGG
rfam:Canis lupus familiaris chromosome 31, whole genome shotgun sequence.